GACGAACGCUGGCGGCGUGCUUAACACAUGCAAGUCGAACGGAAAGGCCCUGCUUUUGUGGGGUGCUCGAGUGGCGAACGGGUGAGUAACACGUGAGUAACCUGCCCUUGACUUUGGGAUAGCUUCAGGAAACUGGGGCUAAUACCGGAUAGGAGCUCCUGCUGCAUGGUGGGGGUUGGAAAGUUUCGGCGGUUGGGGAUGGACUCGCGGCUUAUCAGCUUGUUGGUGGGGUAGUGGCUUACCAAGGCUUUGACGGGUAGCCGGCCUGAGAGGGUGACCGGCCACAUUGGGACUGAGAUACGGCCCAGACUCCUACGGGAGGCAGCAGUGGGGAAUAUUGCACAAUGGGCGGAAGCCUGAUGCAGCAACGCCGCGUGCGGGAUGACGGCCUUCGGGUUGUAAACCGCUUUCGCCUGCGACGAAGCGUGAGUGACGGUAAUGGGUAAAGAAGCACCGGCUAACUACGUG
rnacentral:rRNA from 1 species